rnacentral:tRNA from 1 species
GAGGAUAGAGCUCAAUGGUAGAACAUGUGCUUAGCACGCACAGGGUCCUGGGUUGAAUCCCCAGUAUCUCCA